GGGGCUGCGGGAGGUGACGCCGGGAGGUCCCGGCUGAGAGCGCCGGCUGCCGGCUGGGGACAUGGAAAUGCUUGAUGAAGCUGAUCGUGAUGGAGAUGGAGAAAUAAACGAGGAAGAUUUUUUGAGAGUGAUGAAAAAGACUACUCGUUAUUAAUAGCGUUGUUUUAGUCCUUGUGGAAAAUUAACAAAUUUGUAUUUGUUAUGCAGUUUUAUAAUUUAAUAUCUGAAUGUAUUCAUUUUCAGUUUUUAGUUUAUAUGUACACAUUGGCUUCUUGAUGUCUAAUCCAUGUAAGAAGUUACACAUCUCUACCAAUAUGAUGUUAAAUCUACAGCAUCAAGAAACAAAACAUAAUGACUUCUUUGAGCCAUUAAUCCAAGAACAGUAUUGAUUCUAGCUGCUCUUUUGAGAACCUUAGGUCACAAAGACUUAGAAUUUUAAAGUUUGAUGAAGUUGGCUUCACAUCCAAAUGAAUUUGGCAAACAAAACUUAUAUUUUCCUUUCGUGCAACCCAAAAAAACCUGAUAAACAUUUGCUUUUUAGUCAGUUACUCAAAUACAUAAAGUAUUAAAUAGAACUGUCUGGAAACAUUAUUUGCUAAUUUUCUUCUUUUAGUUAUAAAGAAAAUUCAAAAUAGCACUUACAUCACCCAUAUUUCCCUGUAAGUUUGACCCUAUAGUGAGCACUUAAUACCUCUGUGCUAGGACAGGUGGUGUAGAGUUUUAUUUUUAAAAAAAUUUAUUUAUAUAUUUUUUGAGACAAAAUCUCCCUCUGUCACCCAGGCUGGAGUGCAGUGGUGCUAUCUCGGCUCAAUGCAACUUCUGCCUCCUGGGCUCAAGAGAUUCUCCUGCCUCAGCCUCCCGAGUAGCUGGGACUACAGGUACCUGCCACCAUGCCUAGCUAAUUUUUUGCAUUUUUAGUAGAGACGGAGUUUCACUGUGUUAGCCAUGAUGGUCUCGAUCUCCUGACCUCGUGAUCUGCCUACCUCAGCCUCCCAAACUGCUGGGAUUACAGGGGUGAGCCACCAUGCCUGGCCGAGAUUUUAUGUGUUAACUUCAGUAAACAUAUUACAAGUUGGAAGCUGAUUGUAUUAGCUCCAUUUUACAUACAAGAAAACUAAAGUUCAGAGAAGUUUUAAAAAUUCCCCAGUUGCCCAUUGAUAAUAAAUAAAACAUGGAUUCCAAAUCUUAAGUUCUUAUUCUUCAUUAUGCUGCUUCCCUAUGGAUAAAACUUUGAAGAUAACUGUGUAUUUUCUAACUCAUUUUCAAUUCUGUGACUCUUGUGAUUUCUUCCUUGUGAAAGAGCCAAACUGUUGGGAAACGGAAUCUCAUACAUACAGUCUUUUAACUCCUACUCAGUUGUUUGAGAGUGGGCCUUGGGCCUGGAACACUUCUUUUGAAGAGACUAGGAGUCCACAGAGCCUGUGCUGAACUUACCACCCCGUAUAGUAAUAUCUUCCUCUGUUUCAGAGCCAAUGUGUAGUCCUUUGCCCUGCUUAAGUGUGUGCAUCAUAUGACAUCUGACCAACCCCACUGCUCUGUCUCCUGUGGGGGAGGAGAUGGGGGUCCUUCAGCACAAGAGGAGUGUUUGCAGGCCACCUGCCCUGUGUCAGCUGCCAAGAGGGACCCUCUGGUCAUGGGAGACUGAAGUCCACUAGGGAAGCUGAUCUUGCUCUGUCUCUUCUGUAUGUGAGUAAUGUGUGUUCCACCCAGUGUUUCACUGCAUUGUUUUCCUUGGCGACUUUGAAACAAGAUGCAGUGGACAGAAGUGCUCAGACUUCUGCUCCUGACAAAUAGGCAACAGAUGCCACUUGCUCCACACAAACACUUUCUGAUAACCAAGUUGUCUUUGGAGCAAGAAAGACUCAUAGAAAAUGUAACUAUAGUGACACUACCUGGUUCAUUUUUAGGACAACUGAAAUGAAAACUGAAGGUUUUAAUUUUGUCUUGUCAACACAAGAGGUUUUAUUUGAUUGAAACUAGAAUUGUAUGUGCUCAUGAGCAUUCUCAAGUGUUUUCACAGUGUCUUUGAUUUCUAAUUAUGUAACAUUUCUUCUAGACCAGGGAAAAACUUGCCUAUUAAAUGUGCUUCAUAUGUGAAAAUGUUAGCCUUCAAAUGGUUAAAAGUAUACAUGAACAAGUUCCAAAAGUUCUGAAUAAAAGUCUCCUUCC
rnacentral:sRNA from 1 species